rnacentral:rRNA from 1 species
CCCUUAGAUGUUCUGGGCUGCACGCGCGCUACACUGAUGCACUCAACGAGUUUACGACCUUGCCCGAUAGGGUUGGGUAAUCUUUUUAAAAUGCAUCGUGAUGGGGAUAGAUUAUUGCAAUUAUUAAUCUUCAACGAGGAAUUCCUAGUAAGCGCGAGUCAUCAGCUCGUGCUGAUUACGUCCCUGCCCUUCGUACACACCGCCCGUCGCUCCUACCGAUUGAGUGCUCAGGUGAAUAAUUCGGACUGCAGCAAUGUUUGGAUCCCGAACGUUGCAGCGGAAAGUUUAGUGAACCUUAUCACUUAGAGGAAGGAGAAGUCGUAACA